rnacentral:lncRNA from 1 species
AAGACACCAAGGUGUGAAUUACUUCACAGGCGCUGGGUAAUCUCCAUUCCUUUGAUCUCUGCCUAUCCCGUGGCUCAUUUUGGCCUGAGGAGCUGGAGCCAUUCAUAGGAAGGAUCCGAGUGUCCUGCGUGUGUUUCUUGCUGGCGAGGAAUACAGAGAGCGCGCGGGACAUAUGGUGCCGAAACCCGGGAAGCUUAACAUCUCCAGCACCUCAGAGACCCCUCUAACGAGGCGGAUUCAGAACUGCAGGGUGGUAAAUUCGGAGAGGUAUGAUUUUUCUGGACUUUGGCUUGGGAAUGUUGCUAUUGUGGGAGGUUAAUAUAGAGGCUUCUAUGCUUUUACUAGGAGCUAUUUUGACUUUUCUCACUGUUACAGCAAUCUUAAAGAAGUCCAGAAUUACAUAUCAGAAACCG